rnacentral:rRNA from 1 species
CAGUAGCCGCGGUAAUACGGAGGGUGCAAGCGUUAAUCGGAAUUACUGGGCGUAAAGCGCACGCAGGCGGUCUGACAAGUCAGAUGUGAAAUCCCCGGGCUUAACCUGGGAACUGCAUUUGAAACUGUCAGGCUGGAGUCUUGUAGAGGGGGGUAGAAUUCCAGGUGUAGCGGUGAAAUGCGUAGAGAUCUGGAGGAAUACCGGUGGCGAAGGCGGCCCCCUGGACAAAGACUGACGCUCAGGUGCGAAAGCGUGGGGAGCAAACAGGAUUAGAUACCCGUGUAGUCCCUGUCUCUUAUAU